rnacentral:rRNA from 1 species
GCCUUCCGAGUUGAAAUGGAUUUAUAUUUAUCCGCCCUAGAGAGAAGCUNGCGGCUGAUUAGCUNGUUGGUAAGGUAAGAGCUUACCAAGGCGANGAUCAGUAUCUGGUUUGAGAGGACGAUCAGACACACUGGAACUGAGACACGGUCCAGACUCCUACGGGAGGCAGCAGUGGGGAAUUUUCCGCAAUGGGCGAAAGCCUGACGGAGCAAUACCGCGUGAGGGAAGACUGCCUAUGGGUUGUAAACCUCUUUUUUCAGGGAGGAAUCAAUGACGUGUACCUGAAGNAUAA